rnacentral:rRNA from 1 species
UACGAAGGGGGCUAGCGUUGCUCGGAAUCACUGGGCGUAAAGCGCACGUAGGCGGAUCUUUAAGUCAGGGGUGAAAUCCCGAGGCUCAACCUCGGAACUGCCCUUGAUACUGGGGAUCUCGAGUCCGGAAGAGGUUGGUGGAACUCCGAGUGUAGAGGUGAAAUUCGUAGAUAUUCGCAAGAACACCAGUGGCGAAGGCGGCUCACUGGCCCGGUACUGACGCUGAGGUGCGAAAGCGUGGGGAGCAAACAGG